AGUGAACGCUGGCGGUAGGCCUAACACAUGCAAGUCGAACGGAAGCACAGUAAGAGCUUGUUCUUACGGGUGGCGAGUGGCGGACGAGUGAGGAAUACAUAGGAAUCUACUUUUUCGUGGGGAAUACCGGAGGGACAGAUACGAUAAUACAGCAUAUGACCUACGGGUGAAAGCAGGAGAACAUCGGACCUUGCCCGAUUGAAUGAGCCGAUGUCGGAUUAGCUAGUUGGCGGGGUAAAGGCCCACCAAGCCAACGAACCGUAGCUGGUCUGAGAGGAUGAUCAGCCACACUGGAACUGAGACACGGUCCAGACUCCUACGGGAGGCAGCAGUGGGGAAUAUUGGACAAUGGGCGCAAGCCUGAUCCAGCCAUACCGCGUGGGUGAAGAAGGCCUUCGGGUUGUAAAGCCCUUUUGUUGGGAAAGAAAAGCAGCAGGUUAAUACCCCGCUGUUCUGACGGUACCCAAAGAAUAAGCACCGGCUAACUUCGU
rnacentral:rRNA from 1 species